GCGGUCGUGGCGGAAUGGUAUACGCGCAGCGUUGAGGUCGCUGUAGGGCAACCUGUGGAAGUUCGAGUCUUCUCGACCGCA
rnacentral:tRNA from 1 species